GAAGCUUCAAAUGUCACCCUGCAGCCCAAGACCGGUUACUCACUGAAGCUAAGCAGGGCUGAGCCUGGUCAGUACCUGGAUGGGAGACCACUAGGGAACACUAGGUUGCUGUU
rnacentral:rRNA from 1 species